UGCAAACUGGUAGCUCAGUCAGUACAGCAUGAGACUCUUGAUCUGAGGGACAUGAGUUUGAGCCCCACGUUGGGCAA